rnacentral:rRNA from 1 species
UACGUAGGGCGCAAGCGUUAUCCGGAAUUAUUGGGCGUAAAGAGCUCGUAGGCGGCUUGUUGCGUCGGCUGUGAAAACCCGCGGCUUAACUGUGGGCUUGCAGCUGAUACGGGCAGGCUAGAGUUCGGUAGGGGAGACUGGAAUUCCUGGUGUAGCGGUGAAAUGCGCAGAUAUCAGGAGGAACACCGGUGGCGAAGGCGGGUCUCUGGGCCGAUACUGACGCUGAGGAGCGAAAGCGUGGGGAGCGAACAGG